rnacentral:rRNA from 1 species
GACGAACGCUGGCGGCGUGCCUAAUACAUGCAAGUUGAGCGAUGAAGAUUGGUGCUUGCACCAAUUUGAAGAGCAGCGAACGGGUGAGUAACGCGUGGGGAAUCUGCCUUUGAGCGGGGGACAACAUUUGGAAACGAAUGCUAAUACCGCAUAACAACUUUAAACAUAAGUUUUAAGUUUGAAAGAUGCAAUUGCAUCACUCAAAGAUGAUCCCGCGUUGUAUUAGCUAGUUGGUGAGGUAAAGGCUCACCAAGGCGAUGAUACAUAGCCGACCUGAGAGGGUGUUCGGCCACAUUGGGACUGAGACACGGCCCAAACUCCUACGGGAGGCAGCAGUAGGGAAUCUUCGGCAAUGGACGAAAGUCUGGCCGAGCAACGCCGCGUGAGUGAAGAAGGUUUUCGGAUCGUAAAACUCUGUUGGUAGAGAAGAACGUUGGUGAGAGUGGAAAGCUCAUCAAGUGACGGUAACUACCCAGAAAGGGACGGCUAACUACGUG